CUCCUCUUAUUUUAGGUGGUGGUAGUAUUUUAAACUCAGAACUAUGUAAAGAACUGGAGAUAAUGCUAAACUGCUUAGCUGCGAAGGGGUGGCUACAGACCAAGUGAGGAAAUGUUUGCAUAAAUCCUAUGUAGGCAGAUUCUCACCUAGAAAAAGCCUGCGUUUCUGCCAAAAUAUUCAGAAUCUCUCUGGCAUCCACCGCAAGACAAUUGUCAGGCUUGAUUGGUCCGGCAGGGAAAGGCUUUUGCUUUCAUUUCUGUGUGUUUGGUGCCAGCAUAUUUCCCUGACAAGUGAUGUGAGAGGUGACUGGAAGAGUUCAUUGACUGUGGAGAUGCCGAUGCAGGGAACCUCUUUCCUUCUUCUGCAGAGAUGAGCGACGAGGACAAGAAAUGUUGGAUUAACUCAGGGGUCUGUGGUUGUCCUUUGUUCCAAAGCUGGUUCAUGAAGAGUUAGAGAGAAACUAGACCAUCCAGGAAAAAGAGCAGAACAGCGGGAUAUCCUCAGAGAAUCACCAGAGUUUCCUCAGCUAGCUGUACAGAAGGAGUGUGGGCUGGGAAGCUAGGAAGAUGUGGCUUUCCGUGCAUGGUGCCACUUGAUGUUGUCAGUGCCAGAGAUUCUCUCAUCUCCAGAAAGCAGACAGAAAUCUCCUAUGCUCCUGCUCCCAUGAGGAAAUCCAGACUCUGGUCCACUGUUGCAAGGAACAGCUGCACUGACUUUUAGAACUCUUUGGGUCAUACCUUUACUAAGCCAGGCACUGACUGAUUUUGAAUUUGGCUGGAAUAUAGUUUGAUAUUUAGCUGUAUGAGACUAGCAUAAAAUUGUGCUUCCUGGGUUUCCUGUAAAACACACAUUCAACAGGCUAGGAAAGUAUACUUUAACCUGAUGCAAAACUGUCUUCAUUGCCUAGUAUUUCUUUCAGCUAUAUUACAUCAGUCACAAUAUGAUAACUAUUCGUGUGAUCUGACAUAAUCUGUGAUAGUAUUUUAACUGUCCUCUUUUCUAUGUCUUGCCAUGGACAAAUUUAAUAAAUAAUUGUAUGUUAGAUUUUAUGCCUUCUGUUCAUGUAAUUCUGUGACUCUGGUUCAGCCCCAAAUACACCUAAAAUUAAGUCUUUGUGUUUUAUCAUAGAUUAAAAUGUCACUGUGAACAGUUCUACCAUUGUCUCAAUUAGAUCUAAUAAAUGUAUUCCCGUUAGCCAAUUAAAUAAUUCUGUUUUAUGAGAGAUUGCAUUAAUAACGAUUGGUAUACAUUAAAUCAAUUUUUAGAAGGGUAUUACCAUGAAUAAAACUCAUCAGGAACAUAUCUCCCUGCUGUUGUUUUCAGGCUUCUAUCAUUUAAAUGACUUAUCUCAAAAUUCAGAACAAAAGGACUUGACUGAAGCCCUUUUAAGUUGAUUGAAAGUCAAACAAAUUUCAAAAUGCUUAGAACUAGCUCUGCUAGUUACUGCUAUCUUUCUAUCAUAGAUUAAUAGAAAAUCAGAGCAGGGAAGUCCUUUACAGGGUCAUUUAGUUAUUUAACCAGAAACAGGAGCUGUCAGUAGGUUCAGUGGCUGCAUAAUUCCUGGUGAUGAAAAUUUACUUAUUUUGAAUGUUUUUAGUUCUUUCUUAUUCUAUAAAAGUAUGUCUUUUCCCAUUGAUCUUUUUUUUUUUCUCUUUCCUGGCCUGCACUGAGGAUACAAUUU